UACGGAGGGUGCAAGCGUUAUCCGGAUUCACUGGGUUUAAAGGGUGCGUAGGCGGACAGGUAAGUCAGUGGUGAAAUCUCUGGGCUUAACUCAGAAACUGCCGUUGAUACUAUUUGUCUUGAAUAUCUUGGAGGUAAGCGGAAUAUGUCAUGUAGCGGUGAAAUGCUUAGAUAUGGCAUAGAACACCGAUAGCGAAGGCAGCUUACUACAGGAAGAUUGACGCUGAGGCACGAAAGCGUGGGGAGCAAACAGG
rnacentral:rRNA from 1 species